rnacentral:Y_RNA from 1 species
GGCUAUUUGGUUUACAAGUAAUUGAUCACAACCAGUACCAGUUUCAGAUUUCUUUGUUCCUUCUCCACUCCCACUGCUUCACUUGACCAGCCUUAA